GCUAGUCCCAUAGGGAGGCUGAGCCUUAAUAAAACUAACCCUACUCCCCCUUCCGCAGGGUUCCUCUAUCCUGAGACCCCAGAGGCACGAGGGGCUGGGAGUAGUCCCAGGAUCCUACCCCUGAGCCGGUGUCCUCAGACUCUCCCACCUGCUGCCCCUCCUCUGAGGACCUGCCUGGGCAGGGGCAGAGGGACAGAUCUCGCCUCCACCCACCCGAGCACACUCCCCUCACCUCCACCACCAGGGCAGUCAGUGUCACCCACGGCCCCUGUCCUGGGCACUGCUCUGCCGGAGAAGACUGCAAGGCAAGAGGCUGCCAACCCCUGCCCUCCUGCCGGGAGUCCACAGCCCACCCUGCCAGGUCUGGGAUCCGCGGAACCCCAGCCAGGGAAGCAGGGCUCACUGCAGCCUGAUCCUUAGCCCCAGAUUCUUCUCUCCUCCCGGUCCUGCAGCAGAGGACUUGGAAGGGGAAGAGCCUUCCUCGGGAUGCCCAUGCCCCGGAGCACCAAAGGGGCAGGUGCCCUCGACCAUUGCCGGGACAGGGUGCUAGUGAGGAGGAGGGUCUUCGGGCGAGUACUCACAGGUCAUCUGCCUCCAGUGCCUGGUACCAUGGCACUCAGAAACCUGCAGUCUAACAAGGAGACAGGCCAGAGCUGAUGAGGUGACCAGCAAUCCUGUCCUGAUGUGCAGUCAGCUCCGACAGUGUCCGGAACAGGCAGCCGCAUCUCCGCCCUCCUCUCGGGUCUCCUAGCUUUCCCGCCUCCACAUCUCUCAUGUCUUCUCCCACCUCCCUGCUCCAUGGAGGGACGGAAGGAAGAAGGCAAGACAGCAGGGAAAGCGGGGCCACGCUGGCCUGAGGGCCACAGUGUGGCUGUAGCAUCUCCACCCCAAGGAGCCUGGCAGCUGCGCCCCUGGUCGCCUCUCACCAGAGUGGGGGUCAUGAAGGCGCAGGCCUGUGACUGCUGCAGGACUGCGUUAAAGACAUC